AUAUCUGGCCAUACCAUAUUGAGAAUGCCUGAUCUCACCAGAACUCAGAAUAAGCAGUGUUGGGCCUGAUUAGUACUUGAAUGGGUGCCACAGUGAGACAGCAACGGCUCUAUUACAUAUU
rnacentral:rRNA from 1 species